UACGUAGGGUGCAAGCGUUAAUCGGAAUUACUGGGCGUAAAGCGUGCGCAGGCGGUUCGUUGUGUCGGCGGUGAAAGCCCCGGGCUUAACCUGGGAAUGGCCGUUGAAACUGGCGAACUGGAGUGUGGCAGAGGGGGGUGGAAUUCCGCGUGUAGCAGUGAAAUGCGUAGAGAUGCGGAGGAACACCGAUGGCGAAGGCAGCGCCCUGGACGAGAUCUGACGCUCAGGCACGAAAAGCUGGGGGGAGCAAACAGG
rnacentral:rRNA from 1 species